AUUGAACGCUGGCGGCAGGCCUAAUACAUGCAAGUCGAACGAGUGGCGGACGGGUGAGUCACGUCUGGGAAACUGCCUGAUGGAGGGGGAUAACUACUGGAAACGGUAGCUAAUACCGCAUACCAUCAGAUGUGCCCAGAUUGGAUUAGCUAGUAGGUGGGGUAAUGGCUCACCUAGGCAACGAUCCCUAGCUGGUCUGAGAGGAUGACCAGCCACACUGGAACUGAGACACGGUCCAGACUCCUACGGGAGGCAGCAGUAGGGAAUAUUGCACAAUGGGCGAAAGCCUGAUGCAGCAAUGCCGCGUGUGUGAAGAAGGCCUUCGGGUUGUAAAGCACUUUCAGCGAGGAGGCGUUACUCGCACAGGAAGCACCGGCUAACUCCGUGCCAGCAGCCGCGGUAAUUC
rnacentral:rRNA from 1 species